UUAAGCGACUAAGCGUACACGGUGGAUGCCCUGGCAGUCAGAGGCGAUGAAGGACGUGCUAAUCUGCGAUAAGCGUCGGUGAGGUGAUAUGAACCGUUAUAACCGGCGAUUUCCGAAUGGGGAAACCCAGUGUGUUUCGACACACUAUCAUUAACUGAAUCCAUAGGUUAAUGAGGCGAACCGGGGGAACUGAAACAUCUAAGUACCCCGAGGAAAAGAAAUCAACCGAGAUUCCCCCAGUAGCGGCGAGCGAACGGGGAGGAGCCCAGAGCCUGAAUCAGUGUGUGUGUUAGUGGAAGCGUCUGGAAAGGCGCGCGAUACAGGGUGACAGCCCCGUACACAAAAAUGCACAUACUGUGAGCUCGAUGAGUAGGGCGGGACACGUGGUAUCCUGUCUGAAUAUGGGGGGACCAUCCUCCAAGGCUAAAUACUCCUGACUGACCGAUAGUGAACCAGUACCGUGAGGGAAAGGCGAAAAGAACCCCGGCGAGGGGAGUGAAAAAGAACCUGAAACCGUGUACGUACAAGCAGUGGGAGCCUCUUAAUGGGGUGACUGCGUACCUUUUGUAUAAUGGGUCAGCGACUUAUAUUCUGUAGCAAGGUUAACCGAAUAGGGGAGCCGAAGGGAAACCGAGUCUUAACUGGGCGUUAAGUUGCAGGGUAUAGACCCGAAACCCGGUGAUCUAGCCAUGGGCAGGUUGAAGGUUGGGUAACACUAACUGGAGGACCGAACCGACUAAUGUUGAAAAAUUAGCGGAUGACUUGUGGCUGGGGGUGAAAGGCCAAUCAAAUCGGGAGAUAGCUGGUUCUCCCCGAAAGCUAUUUAGGUAGCGCCUCGUGAAUUCAUCUCCGGGGGUAGAGCACUGUUUCGGCAAGGGGGUCAUCCCGACUUACCAACCCGAUGCAAACUGCGAAUACCGGAGAAUGUUAUCACGGGAGACACACGGCGGGUGCUAACGUCCGUCGUGAAGAGGGAAACAACCCAGACCGCCAGCUAAGGUCCCAAAGUCAUGGUUAAGUGGGAAACGAUGUGGGAAGGCCCAGACAGCCAGGAUGUUGGCUUAGAAGCAGCCAUCAUUUAAAGAAAGCGUAAUAGCUCACUGGUCGAGUCGGCCUGCGCGGAAGAUGUAACGGGGCUAAACCAUGCACCGAAGCUGCGGCAGCGACACUAUGUGUUGUUGGGUAGGGGAGCGUUCUGUAAGCCUGUGAAGGUGUACUGUGAGGUAUGCUGGAGGUAUCAGAAGUGCGAAUGCUGACAUAAGUAACGAUAAAGCGGGUGAAAAGCCCGCUCGCCGGAAGACCAAGGGUUCCUGUCCAACGUUAAUCGGGGCAGGGUGAGUCGACCCCUAAGGCGAGGCCGAAAGGCGUAGUCGAUGGGAAACAGGUUAAUAUUCCUGUACUUGGUGUUACUGCGAAGGGGGGACGGAGAAGGCUAUGUUGGCCGGGCGACGGUUGUCCCGGUUUAAGCGUGUAGGCUGGUUUUCCAGGCAAAUCCGGAAAAUCAAGGCUGAGGCGUGAUGACGAGGCACUACGGUGCUGAAGCGACAAAUGCCCUGCUUCCAGGAAAAGCCUCUAAGCAUCAGGUAACAUCAAAUCGUACCCCAAACCGACACAGGUGGUCAGGUAGAGAAUACCAAGGCGCUUGAGAGAACUCGGGUGAAGGAACUAGGCAAAAUGGUGCCGUAACUUCGGGAGAAGGCACGCUGAUAUGUAGGUGAAGCGACUUGCUCGUGGAGCUGAAAUCAGUCGAAGAUACCAGCUGGCUGCAACUGUUUAUUAAAAACACAGCACUGUGCAAACACGAAAGUGGACGUAUACGGUGUGACGCCUGCCCGGUGCCGGAAGGUUAAUUGAUGGGGUUAGCGGUAACGCGAAGCUCUUGAUCGAAGCCCCGGUAAACGGCGGCCGUAACUAUAACGGUCCUAAGGUAGCGAAAUUCCUUGUCGGGUAAGUUCCGACCUGCACGAAUGGCGUAAUGAUGGCCAGGCUGUCUCCACCCGAGACUCAGUGAAAUUGAACUCGCUGUGAAGAUGCAGUGUACCCGCGGCAAGACGGAAAGACCCCGUGAACCUUUACUAUAGCUUGACACUGAACAUUGAGCCUUGAUGUGUAGGAUAGGUGGGAGGCUUUGAAGUGUGGACGCCAGUCUGCAUGGAGCCGACCUUGAAAUACCACCCUUUAAUGUUUGAUGUUCUAACGUGGGCCCCUUACCGGGGUUGCGGACAGUGUCUGGUGGGUAGUUUGACUGGGGCGGUCUCCUCCUAAAGAGUAACGGAGGAGCACGAAGGUUGGCUAAUCCUGGUCGGACAUCAGGAGGUUAGUGCAAUGGCAUAAGCCAGCUUGACUGCGAGCGUGACGGCGCGAGCAGGUGCGAAAGCAGGUCAUAGUGAUCCGGUGGUUCUGAAUGGAAGGGCCAUCGCUCAACGGAUAAAAGGUACUCCGGGGAUAACAGGCUGAUACCGCCCAAGAGUUCAUAUCGACGGCGGUGUUUGGCACCUCGAUGUCGGCUCAUCACAUCCUGGGGCUGAAGUAGGUCCCAAGGGUAUGGCUGUUCGCCAUUUAAAGUGGUACGCGAGCUGGGUUUAGAACGUCGUGAGACAGUUCGGUCCCUAUCUGCCGUGGGCGCUGGAGAACUGAGGGGGGCUGCUCCUAGUACGAGAGGACCGGAGUGGACGCAUCACUGGUGUUCGGGUUGUCAUGCCAAUGGCACUGCCCGGUAGCUAAAUGCGGAAGAGAUAAGUGCUGAAAGCAUCUAAGCACGAAACUUGCCCCGAGAUGAGUUCUCCCUGACUCCUUGAGAGUCCUGAAGGAACGUUGAAGACGACGACGUUGAUAGGCCGGGUGUGUAAGCGCAGCGAUGCGUUGAGCUAACCGGUACUAAUGAACCGUGAGGCUUAACCUU
rnacentral:rRNA from 1 species